UUCCCCGUUUGAGGUUUUUAUUAAACUGUCUAAAAAUGACUCGCCAAAGUCAUUGGUUAAUUUCUAAGUACAGACAUAAUUUACCAUAGAUUUUUUAAUUGAACCGAUAACGGGAAAUUCG
rnacentral:sRNA from 21 species